UGUUUUUAUACUACCCCAAAUAUUACGCGUUUCAUCACAUAAUAUCUUAUUCUCUUCAAAACAACAAUUACGUUUAUUAUUUAUCUUCCAAAAAUGAGAUGACUCAUAUUUGUGAUACCAUGAUUAGUAUUAUUAUUAUUAUUAUUAUUAUUUUUUAAAAUUGAAAAUAAAAUUUAUUAAUAUUAUUAAUUAUACUUAAUUUUUAUUUAAAAAAAUUAUAUACCAUGAUUUCGAAUUUAACAACCUUGUAUAGUUGUAUUAACUAAUAAAAUUAAUAAUUAUAUAUCAUAAUUGGAUGAGAUAAACCCUAGUUAGUAAUUACAAUAAUAAAAUUGCAAAUGGUAGUGGAAUAUCAAAUGUAGUACAUUGGACCUAAAAUGCAAAAGUAUUAGUAGUAUACAAAUAAUUGAUCUUUUACUCGACUAAACUGCCAUUCAUCGCGGCAUAAGUAACUAAGUUGUGUAUAAAUCUAAAAUUGAAAGAAUAUUUUAGGAAAUCCUAGUAACCACCAUCUUCAAGAUAGAAAAGUUGUGCAAUUGUGGUGUUCAUGAUUCCAAGAAAAGCUCCUGUUAUUUUUACGGUUCUCCUGCCAUCUUCAGUCAUUUGAACAUAUGCAUCACUAUUUAUAGCAUUGCCAGAUAUCAAGAAUUUAAACAUGUGACCGGUUGGCCAGUACUGCGAAACCCAAGUUUCAAGUAAAUAAUAAAAACCAAGUCUUGAAAAAAGAAUCUUAACUUCCCUUUCCUCUUACUCAAACUCAACAUGUAAACUUAAAGCAUCCAUCCCACUUCCUUCCCUUGAGGCUGAGCGGAAUGCACAAACACAACCUAUUAGUCAUAUUAAGCAUUUUAAUUUCAAUAUAGCACCAAGAAUUCCAGUUAUACAAGAAAAAAAUAUUUGUCAACCAAACCACCAUCCUGUAGGUACGAACUAAAAGGUUAUAGCAUAAAUAUUACAAGAGGAACAUAACAAAAGAAAUUACUAAUAAGAUCACAUCACACCUCACUGGGUAUUUCAAAGAAUACGAGCAUUCAACUUCUGGAUUUGACUUGUAAUGCUCAUGAAGCCAUGCAUACCACUCUCUCUGGAGGAGUAUGUAUCCUUAUUUUGUGGCGUGAGCCCCUUACUCCACCGCCUCUCAGCUCGAUCACUGCCACUUCUUUCCAGACUGCCAUCCACAGUUUCCUCAUAAUUUUCUCUCAUGGCUCACUUAUUGUCAUCAGUGCAAACAAAAACACAAGGUCUAAUGGAAUAUUUUCUGUAUAUUUCUAUAAUGUAUUAACUCAUACAAUCUUUCUUUCGUCUUGGUCAGAUAGCACUAAUCUUCUUUUGGAGAUAAAAGUAGUGAGCAAAUUAUGUGCUCUAUUUCAGGAGGAGGUGGAGUUGUCUACCAUGGCAGGCUUCAAAGAUAUCCAAAUUAUAUCCUCAAGUUCAUCGAUACAACAAUUGAAGUAAACAAUAGGUAAGACAGCCUAGACUUGUGGAUGCAUCUUUUCUGAAGCAUGGUAGCACCUUGAUAGAUACACAAUCAAUUCCUUCUUCAACUUUGAUACAUACAAGAGAUGAGGCAAGUAGACAAGAUUCAAGAAUUCGACACUCACCUUAGCAUCUUCCGUUCUCUUUGUAGUCUCAACUACAAUGGAAUCACGCAAACAUCAACCGAAUAGAUUUGUAAAAUAUUGAAGUUAACAGGAUACAAGCCUGCAAAUACUAUCUAGCCACUCAACAUAAAUAUUAAAAGGGAGAUUUGGAUGGUACAUUCAUUCUCUCGCCCAAAUUGUUUGCUAAUUAUAUCCUCUUAUCUCACAUUUACCGUUUCUGAAACUAAAUUCUUCCAAAAUCUCAAUUGUCUGACUGAAGGAAAUAGUGACAAUUUCAAUAUACUAAUGUAUAGCGGUGUUAAAGUUUGUGGAAAAACGAAAAUUCUGUAAAUCCUAAAACCGGAUCGAGCAGGACAGAAAGGGGAAAGAGAGAAACCGUUUUAGGGCGGAGGGAGGUAGGAAGCCUCUUUCAAUUUCAAC